GAGUUUGAUCCUGGCUCAGAUUGAACGCUGGCGGCAGGCCUAACACAUGCAAGUCGAGCGGUAACACAGGGAGCUUGCUCCUGGGUGACGAGCGGCGGACGGGUGAGUAAUGUCUGGGAAAUUGCCUGAUGGAGGGGGAUAACUACUGGAAACGGUAGCUAAUACCGCAUAAUGUCGCAAGACCAAAGAGGGGGACCUUCGGGCCUCUUGCCAUCAGAUGUGCCCAGAUGGGAUUAGCUAGUAGGUGGGGUAACGGCUCACCUAGGCGACGAUCCCUAGCUGGUCUGAGAGGAUGACCAGCCACACUGGAACUGAGACACGGUCCAGACUCCUACGGGAGGCAGCAGUGGGGAAUAUUGCACAAUGGGCGCAAGCCUGAUGCAGCCAUGCCGCGUGUAUGAAGAAGGCCUUCGGGUUGUAAAGUACUUUCAGCGAGGAGGAAGGCAUUAAGGUUAAUAACCUUGGUGAUUGACGUUACUCGCAGAAGAAGCACCGGCUAACUCCGUGCCAGCAGCCGCGGUAAUACGGAGGGUGCAAGCGUUAAUCGGAAUUACUGGGCGUAAAGCGCACGCAGGCGGUCUGUCAAGUCGGAUGUGAAAUCCCCGGGCUCAACCUGGGAAAUGCAUCCGAAACUGGCAGGCUAGAGUCUUGUAGAGGGGGGUAGAAUUCCAGGUGUAGCGGUGAAAUGCGUAGAGAUCUGGAGGAAUACCGGUGGCGAAAGCGGCCCCCUGGACAAAGACUGACGCUCAGGUGCGAAAGCGUGGGGAGCAAACA
rnacentral:rRNA from 1 species